GAGUGAACAGAACUUAGCAAACAGGGUCAUAGGAAUUUUAAGUGGCGUUUAGCUGGGAAGUGCACGGGACAGCUUGAAAGGAGCCCCCUUGAUCACAAGGAACUCAGUGGGACCUGAAGUAUCAAGGAGGACUUGGAGGCAGAAACCAGCCUGAUUUUUGCUUUAUGAAACUUUUGUUGCACACCAUGUACCAUGUGACACUGUACUGUAAUCAUAAUAAUGACGAAGAUCCAAAAGUGGUAGACCAAAUACAAUGAGCUAUCAGUGAUGGAGCAAGACUCAGAGGUUUUUCAGGAUGGCUAUGAAGAUGGCAUUAUUUUACAGUUCCUGGACAAUAUUCUAACCAACAAAGUGUGCAUGUUAGGAGGCUCUGCAGAGAAAGGGUGCGCCGAACUGGUCCACCACAAACUGGUCCAGUUCAAGCAGUUUGAUCGCAAACUGCUUCGAACCAGUUCAUCGACCCGACUGGUCCAGCUGGUGGGUUAGACCAAAACAAUUCGGGGACCCAUGGUUCAGUCUGAAAUCAAACUGAAUCGCAGCAAACAAUUCACACCUCUACUGCAGUGUGUGCACACCUCUACUGCAAGGACGCAACAGGGGCCUGUGUGCAACUUCCCCAGACCUCCUCUCCACACAUUAUUGCAGCAACGGGUGAAAUCUCCUAA